rnacentral:rRNA from 1 species
CCGGGGCAUCCCGGAGGCAGGAAAGGCUUCGGCCGGACAGGGAUGGGCAUGCGGCGCAUUAGGCAGUAGGCGGGGUAACGGCCCACCUAACCGACGAUGCGUAGGGGUUCUGAGAGGAAGGUCCCCCACACUGGUACUGAGACACGGACCAGACUCCUACGGGAGGCAGCAGCGAGGAAUAUUGGUCAAUGGUCGGGAGACUGAACCAGCCAAGCCGCGUGAGGGAUGAAGGUACAGAGUAUCGUAAACCUCUUUUGUCAGGGAACAAAGGCGGGGACGUGUCCCCGGAUGAGUGUACCUGAAGAAAAAGCAUCGGCUAACUCCGUGCCAGCAGCCGCGGUAAUACGGAGGAUGCGAGCGUUAUCCGGAUUUAUUGGGUUUAAAGGGUGCGCAGGCGGUCUGUUAAGUCAGCGGUCAAAGCCCGGGGCUCAACCCCGGCCCGCCGUUGAAACUGGCAGUCUCGAGUUGGAGAGAAGUAUGCGGAAUGCGCGGUGUAGCGGUGAAAUGCAUAGAUAUCGCGCAGAACUCCGAUUGCGAAGGCAGCAUGCCGGCUCCACACUGACGCUGAGGCACGAAAGCGUGGGUAUCGAACAGGAUUAGAUACCCUGGUAGUCCACGCAGUAAACGAUGAAUGCAGGCUGUCCGGG